CGUGCGGCGAGCUAUACAUGCAAGUCGAGCGCGGGAAGCAGGCAGAUCCUCUUCGGAGGUGACGCCUGUGGAACGAGCGGCGGACGGGUGAGUAACACGUGGGCAACCUGCCUGUAAGAUUGGGAUAACCCCGGGAAACCGGGGCUAAUACCGGAUAAUACUUUUCGUUGCAUAACGAGAAGUUGAAAGGCGGCUUUUAGCUGUCACUUACAGAUGGGCCCGCGGCGCAUUAGCUAGUUGGUAAGGUAACGGCUUACCAAGGCGACGAUGCGUAGCCGACCUGAGAGGGUGAUCGGCCACACUGGGACUGAGACACGGCCCAGACUCCUACGGGAGGCAGCAGUAGGGAAUCUUCCGCAAUGGACGAAAGUCUGACGGAGCAACGCCGCGUGAGUGAUGAAGGUUUUCGGAUCGUAAAACUCUGUUGUCAGGGAAGAACAAGUGCCGUUCAAAUAGGGCGGCACCUUGACGGUACCUGACCAGAAAGCCCCGGCUAACUACGUGCCAGCAGCCGCGGUAAUACGUAGGGGGCAAGCGUUGUCCGGAAUUAUUGGGCGUAAAGCGCGCGCAGGCGGUCCUUUAAGUCUGAUGUGAAAGCCC
rnacentral:rRNA from 1 species